rnacentral:rRNA from 1 species
UGAAUACGAGAUGCUACGGCAUCGAAGCAGUCUAUGUCAUACUUCCAAGAAAAGCUUGCACUGUCAUAAACAAAUAAUGCCUGUACCAUAACCGACACAGGUGGGUAGGUAGAGUAUACUAAGGGGCGCGAGAUAACUCUCUCUAAGGAACUCGGCAAAAUGACUCCGUAACUUCGGGAGAAGGAGUGCCUUAUUUUAUAAGGUUGCAAUAACAAGAUCCAAGCAACUGUUUACCAAAAACACAGGUCUCCGCUAAGUCGUAAGACGAUGUAUGGGGGCUGACGCCUGCCCAGUGCCAGAAGGUUAAAGAAGUUGGUUAGCAUUAGCGAAGCUGAUAACUGAAGCCCUGGUGAACGGCGGCCGUAACAAUAACGGUCCUAAGGUAGCGAAAUUCCUUGUCGGGUAAGUUCCGACCCGCACGAAAGGCGUAAUGAUUUGGAUACUGUCUCGGAGAGGGGCUCGGUGAAAUAGACUUGUCUGUGAAGAUGCGGACUACCUGCACCAGGACAGAAAGACCCUAUGAAGCUUUACUGUAACUUGAGAUUGAAAUUGGACUUUAUUUGCGCAGUAUAGGUGGGAGACGUUGAAAAUAUUCUUGCGGGAAUAUUGGAGUCAUCAGUGAGAUACCACUCUUAUAAUGUUAGAUUUCUAACUUUGUAUCAUUAUCUGGUCAAAGAACAGUCUCAGGCGGGCAGUUUGACUGGGGCGGUCGCCUCCCAAACGGUAACGGAGGCGCACAAAGGUUUCCUCUGAACGUGUAGAAAUCGUAUCUAGAGUGUAAAGGCAUAAGGAAGCUUGACUGUGAGACCUACAAGUCGAGCAGGGACGAAAGUCGGUCUUAGUGAUCUGACGGUGCUGAGUGGAAAGGCCGUCACUCAACGGAUAAAAGUUACUCUAGGAUAACAGGCUGAUCUCCCCCAAGAGUUCACAUCGACGGGGAGGUUUGGCACCUCGAUGUCGGCUCAUCGCAUCCUGGGGCGGUAGUACGUCCCAAGGGUUGGGCUGUUCGCCCAUGAAAGCGUACGCGAGCUGGGUUCAGAACGUCGUGAGACAGUUCGGUCCAUAUCCGGUGUAGGCGUUAGAAUAUUGAGAGGAGCCUUCUUUAGUACGAGAGGACCGAGAAGGACAUACCUCUGGUGUACCAGUUAUCGUGCCAACGGUAAACGCUGUGUAGCUAUGUAUGGAGAGGAUAACCGCUGAAAGCAUCUAAGUGGGAAGCCCACCUCAAGAUAAGUAUUCU